rnacentral:lncRNA from 1 species
UCUGGGUCUGCUUCGACCAUAAUCCCAAAGACCAAUAGGGCGGAAUACCCUUCUUCGAUCAAUCAGGAAAAUGGCUGUUGGGCCUUCAUCUACUCUGCUUCGACCAUAUUCCCGAAGACCAAUAGGGCGGAAUACCCUCUUCAGUCAAUCAGGAAAAUGGAUGUUGGGUCUUCAUCUACUCUGCUUCGACCAUAAUCCCGAAGACCAAUAGGGCGGAGUACCCUCUUCGGUCAAUCAGGAAAAUGGCUGUUGGGUCUUCAUCUACUCUGCUUCGACCAUAAUCCCGAAGACCAAUAGGGCGGAGUACCCUCUUCGGAUGCUUAGGAAUAUGAUUCUUUGGUCUUCUUUGGUCAUGAGGAUCACCUUGAGACAUGUCCUCAAAGUGCAUAGACUGCUUUCCAACUCACGGUUGUCCAUCUUUAGGCGUACCACAUCUUUCAGACUAGACAUAAUUGAACGCUUUGUCCCUCAGCCUGGCAAUCCGAAGAAUCUGCACAACUAUAUCCUUGCUCUGCUCAGCUACCUCCUCGCUCCGCUCAGCUACAUCCUCGCUCCGCACAGCUACAUCCUCGCUCCGCUCCAAGAGAACCUCCAAAGCUCUAUCUGCUUCGUCCACCAUCUUCAUUAGCCUGACCACUUCGGUGCCGAGUUCUAGGCGGGGUGCCUUUUACUUGCCUUCGACCAUGAUCAUGCUCUUUGUCAGCAGCAAAGACCAACCAUCUUCGGGCUUCGUCGUGGGCUCUCGAACGAGAACCCCCUGAUUUGUGCCAUAACUUUCGAUGUAGAACAACUGGAAAUAUUGUGAUUAUAACUCAAGAACACUAGAAAACAGCCCUCCUUCUAGCGCCAAUGUUAACGCCAAGAUCUUUUGUCGAGUCCUAAUCACGUAAGACGUCUGAUCCUGCACAGUAAACACGAUAAACACCACGAGCUUGACGGCUGGACCGUCGGGGGAUAGCUCAGGCGUGAGAGUCAGUAUCGGUGUUCACAAGGUUAACAAUGGAGGAUAAUAAUGUCUAGUGUAUUGAGAGAGAGAUAAUAAUUCUCCUUUGUGUGUGUGUGAAUAUGAAUGUGAACGUACCUUUUGCUUGAAGACUUCCUUGCUAUGAUAUACUACAGGACCUGGUUUACCGUGCCACUGACCUUCCUGACACCUGUUAAUCUCAUCCCCUCUGUCCACCGCUGGCCAACUGUCCAAUCCUUAUUAAUGCCAUGUAAGAUAUCAGUCAGUCAUAUCUUUAUCAUCAUCACCGGUUCAGAACCCAAGUGAAGAUAUUUAAAAUAUGAUGGGUCGACCCACUGAUUUGGUCCGAUACUAGAAGGACUUAACAAAGAUAAUAAAGUGACUAGGCCCAAUAAUGUCAACACCCAAUAGUGAAGACCCAAUGGACUAACUGAAUAAGUAGGCCCAAUCCAUUCGGCCCAAUAGGAGAAAUAUCACGACCCAACACUCACGAUGAUCAAAUUAUAUUUUAUACAUAAAUUAAGAAAAAUUAAAUAGAAAAAAAAGAAUAAAAAAAAUUUAAAAUUUAUUUUUAGUGAGUUCAUAAAGUAAUAAGUUUUUAUUUUUUUAUUUAUUAGGGGAUCCCACUAAAUACUUAUAAUUAUUCUUUUAAAUACAAAAAAAAAAUUAUACUUAAUUAUGUCAUCCUUUAGAAGACGAGUACAUAUUUAUUACUAUGUCUUUAUCAAACUGGUUGACCAUCAACUACCACGACAAAGCGUUUAAAAUUUAACAAAGUAUAUAUAAAAUUUUUACCAAAUACUUAAUAAAAAAAUGUGAUGCCAACUCUCAUGACCAAAAGGGUUUCGUUUGUAUUCUUUUGUAUUCUCUUUUAAAAAAUAUUAUGCGAUGCACUUCCAUAAAUAGGACGACCUAGUAUAUAUAUUGACAUGUUCCAAAAAUAUAAAUAUAUAUUUAAAAUAAUGAAUUUCAUAAAAAAAUUUAUUUCUUCAAAUAUGUGUGUCUCACACUAACUAGAAUAUAUAGUGGUGGGAUGAUAAUUUACCUAGAAUAUAUAUAAUGAUAUGUUAGGAAUUACAUGUAAUUUUAUAGUAGUAGUUUAAAAAGAUAAAAGUAUCUCUAGUUUUAAAAUUGCCAGAAAAAGAAAAGGCAUCUGGAACAGGGGAAGUACUCCAUAUAAGAGCGAGCUGUUUCUCGAGCCAAUCGAACACUAACAAAACAAAAUGGAAUCUGCCGUUUUCUGAUAAUUAGUGAUACUGCAAUUUUAAUUUCUAGCAGAAUUUGAUUCCUUGUGUAAUACGAAAUUAUCUAAGCAAAUAGUUAAAAGUAUUACUAGCUAGCUACUAUAAAUAUAUGCCCACAUUAAAUCUCCAAGCAAGAAUUAAGAGUCAUGGAAGUGUUUUUGGUCUUUCUUAUUUGGUCCAUUAUCAUAUUGUCACCUGCCUUGACCCUCCUCCAUCGUCGCCGGAAGUCCCGGUCCAACCGACUACCACCGGGGCCACCGGGAUGGCCAGUUUUUGGUAACAUUUUUGAUCUUGGGACCAUGCCGCACAGAACUCUAGCCGGGCUGGAAAAAAAAUACGGUCCAGUUGUUUGGCUAAAAUUUGGGUCCAUAAAUUCGAUGGUGGUUCUCACAGCCAAGGCCGCGGCUGAGUUGUUCAAGAACCAUGAUCUCUCCUUCGCGGAACGAACCAUUACUCACGCCAUGAAGUCACACGAUUAUGACAAGGGCUCUUUAGCCCUUGCACCGUAUGGGUCGUAUUGGCGCGUGUUGAGGCGGAUAUGCACCGUGGAAAUGUUGGUGAACAAGAGGAUGAAUGAAAGUGCGCCAGUCAGGCAAAAAUGUGUCAACGAUCUGGUGCAUUGGAUAGAAAAGGAAGCUCGUGAAUCAAAAGGAAUUCAUUUGGCAAGGUUUGUGUUCCUUACUUCAUUUAACAUGCUUGGAAAUCUCAUGUUAUCGCGUGACUUGGUGGAUCCUCAGUCGAAGGCGGGUUCCGAGUUCUUCACGGCUAUGAUGGGACUAAUGGAGUGGGGUGGACAUGCAAAUAUUUCAGACGUGUUUCCGUGGCUUAAGCGGUUUGAUCUGCAGGGUUUGAGGAAGAAAAUGGACCGGGAUAUUGGAAAAGCAUUAGAAAUAGCUUCCGAGUUUUUGAAUGAACGAGCGGAACAGAAAAAACAUCAGCAGCAGCGAGGGGAAGGAACAACUAAUGACUUCUUGGAUGUGUUAUUAGAAUUUGAGGGCGUUGGAGAUGAACCGCCUAAAUUAUUAGAAAGGGACAUCAACAUAUUUAUACUGGUACGUACGUACUCUGUUACACCUACAUCUUAACUAACAUCCUAUAUACUUACAAAACCGAAUGAGUUGCUCCAUUUGUAUAGAAUUACUCUACGUACGAGGUCCUUGGAGGAUAAUAUAUACUCCCUCCAUUCUUUUUUAUUUGACGCUUUAGAGUAAUUUUUUAUUCUAUUUAUUUAACAUUUGUAGAUUUUUAAAAUAUAUUGAUUACAUACGUUGUGAUUGUUUCUAUUUUUUAUUUAGUUUUUAGCCCCGACAUUUUGUGACUUGACUAUGUUAUUAUAAAGUAUAUUUUGUCUUAUUAAAUACUGAUACAUCAUUUGAGACAUAUUUAAGAUUAAAAUUUUGAGACCUCGACUUGUUUUUAUUGAAAACAUGCCAUUAUCUAAAAUAUGAAGCAUAUUUCUUGAAGGAAAUAUUCCUGGCCGGCUCAGAAACGACUAGCAGCUCGACCGAAUGGGCAAUGACGGAGCUCCUACGCAACCCCGAAAAAAUGACAAAGGUUAAAGCCGAGCUUGCUAAGGUCAUAGGACCAAACCGGAAAUUUGAAGAGAGUGAUAUAGAUAACUUGCCCUAUUUACAAGUGGUGGUGAAAGAGACGCUGCGUUUACAUCCUCCAAUUCCUCUUCUUGUUCCGAGGAAGGCUAUGCAGGACACAGAAUUCAUGGGGUACCACAUACCUAAAAACACACAAGUUUUUAUAAAUGCUUGGGCAAUUGGAAGAGACCCACAAUGUUGGAAUGACCCUUUGUCUUUCAAGCCCGAGAGAUUUUUGGGCUCAAAAGUUGAUUAUAAAGGGCAGCACUAUGAGUUAAUCCCAUUUGGUGCUGGGCGAAGAAUGUGUGCGGGGGUUCCAUUAGCUCACAAAAUGUUGAACCUUAUAUUGGGUUCAUUACUUCACGAAUUCGAUUGGGAGCUUGACUGCCACGUGUCCCCCGAGUCAAUGGAUAUGAGGGAUAGGAUGGGGAUAACUGUGAGAAAAUUUGAAUGUUUAGAAGUAAUACCAAAGAAAUCAAGGCUGUGAUAAUUAACCUAUGCAUGUAUGUAUGUAUUUUUACUUAAUGGUUGACGAACAAAAUUGCUAUAUGAAGGGAAAUAUAUAGUACUAAUUUGUGUUCUAUAGGUAGGUUUAUGUUUUUACCAAACGAUAUGUAUUUUGUGUAAACAAUAAUGGCCCACCACAAUACACAUUAAUCUCGCUUUCCUUUCCAUUUUCAAUUACUAAUGGUUUUGGAAAAAGGAAGUGAAUGGAACCAAAAGUAAGGCCGGUCCCUUACGAGUCUACCAUCUCCGAUUGGGGAAAACUAUAACAAUUUUGAACAAUAAUGGAAUGUAGAGGGGAACAAAUAAUAAUUGAAGGAUGAAUGAGACAAACGGGAGGGUAACAUCAUAUAUAUAUAUAUGCUUACUGCGGCUGCGGCUGUUUAUUUUUAUUACUAUUAUUUAUUUUAUUUAAUAAUUUAUAGUGCAUGUUCGUUAAUUUAAUAAAUUAAGACUGGGUGUUAACGUCAAGAUUUUUUGUCGCGUCCCAAUCACGUAAGACGUCUGAUCCUGCACAGUAAACACGAUAAGACACUAAAAGCUUGACGGCUGGACCGUCGGUGGAUAGCUCAGGCGUGAGAGUCAGUAUACGUGUUCACAAGGUUAACAAUGGAGGAUGUAAUGUCUAGUGUAUUGAGAGAGAUAAUAAUUCUCCGUUGUGUGUGUGUGAAUAUGAAUAUGAACGUACCUUUUGCUUGAAGACUUCCUUGCUAUGAUAUAUUAUAGGACCUGGUUUACCGUGCCACUGACCCUCCUGACACCUGUUAAUCUCAUCCCCUCUGUCCAGCGCUGGUCAACUGUCCAAUCCUUAUUAAUGCCAUGUAAGAUAUCAGUCAGCCAUAUCUUUGUCAUCAUCACCGGUUCAGAACCCAAGUAAAGAUAUUUAAAUAUAUGAUGGAUCGACCCACUGAUUUGGUCCGAUACUAGAAGGACUUAACAAAGAUAAUAAAGUGACUAGGUCCAAUAAUGUCAACACCCAAUAGUGAAGACCCAAUGGACGAACUGAAUAAGUAGGCCCAAUCCAUUCGGCCCAAUAGGAGAAAUAUCACGACCCAACUUUGCCCCCUAAUUUUAUUAAACAGGAGGUUUAAUAGGAAACUAUAAAUGGCAUCAGUUCAGGACAAAAGGAAUUAUAAUAAGACCAAUAAAGGCCCAAAAUACGGUUUACCGAAGUCCAUCUGAUGAACAUCAAAUAGCAACAUAAAGGGUUCAUCUUCGCCGACCUCUACAGAAGUACCAAUUGAAGAGCUUUCAACUACCGAAGCUCAAGCCAUAGAACGAAAUUUCGGUUCGACAAUAAUUCCAUCACGGACCUGAUGGACGAAGGAAUGAAAUACCGGACUAAAGGAAUUCGAUAGUUUUGAUUUAUUCAUUCACUUCGCUGCCCAUCAAUUUGAAAUGAUUGACUAAUAAUGGUCAUCUGCAGGCAAACGCUAAUUCGUGUGUCUCCGUCUCAAAUACAAAGAAGCCGAAAAGGAUACCGAAGAGAAUGCCGAAGAGGAUACCGCCCGAAGGGAUAACACCAUCCGGAAGUCUGUGUUAGCGAAAGAAAGAAUCAAUCUUGAUAUUGCUCUCUUCAACAAUGAAUGCCUUCGGAAGAAUAUCGACAAGAUCAAAGAAGAACUAAAGACGACCAAGGCCACUCAUCGGGUCAUCACAAUGACGAAGAAGAAUGAAGAUCUGACCGAGUCCAAUCAGAGCUUGGCGAAGCAAAAUAACAAUAUCCAUGCUAAAGAAACAAGAUAUCUAGCACAUCGUCAAAAGCUUGAAGAAGAGCUCAAAGAGCUUCGGGCCCUUAAGAAUUUGAGUCCGCCACUGACUGAAGAAUUUCGUAGGGAUAUCCAGGCAGAAUACAGAAAAUCCGCCGAGCUGAACAAUAAGAUCGUCCAUAUGUAUGCCAAAGGAUAUGAAAUCUGCCGAAGUAAAGACAAGAAAAAGCUUUGUCACGGCCGAGGUAGAUCCAUCUCUUCUAGACUCUUCAGAUGGUGAUGAUGAUGAUGAAUAAGCCUGAAGAUGACCAUCCCUUUACCUUUAACUGUAGAACUUUCUAUAAAAAUUCUAAACUCUUGUGAACAGUUAAUAUUAAUGAAAUAUCAACUUUAUGCCUUAUUACUUCUGGGUGAACAUUUCUUGUCAGUAAUUAAUCAUCAAUCAACUUGAAAACUGUACAAGUGCUUCUUAACUUAAACUGUUAGUCAAUAAUCAAGAAAAUGAUAUAACAGUUAAGAACAAUAAUGAGAUAAUCUGAACUCAACACUUGAACAAAAUAAAGUAAUGCAUACUUAUCGUUACCGAAGUGUGAUACAGGUCAUGUAUAAGGUGAAUUCGGCUGAUCCUCUUUGUAACAACAAGAUCUUGUUUAUCGCUCGAGGUAGAACAAGUAUAUAAGGACCUUUGUUUACCACUCGGGGUAGAACAAUUAUAUAAGGACCAUGGAAUUUGUCUACCACACGGGGUCACAAAUUUAUAAGGACACUCCUGACAAUAAGGCUGCCAUCGAAUGGCCAGCAAGUCCGACCAUACCUCCUUACUCCAGUGCAUUUUUUUUAUCACUCGCGAUAAAUCAAAAUUAAGAGGAUCAUGGAAUUUGUCUACCACGCAGGGUAUAACAAAACCAUAAGGACACUUCUGCCGAAGAGGCUACCAUCGAAUGUUCAGCGAGUCCACCUCGUCCUCCUUACUUCGGUGACUAUUGAUUUACCGCCCUCGGUAAAAGAAAUAUAAAGGAACAUAGGAUUUGUCUACCACGCUGGGCAACAAAUAGAUAGGCUACCAUCGAAUGACCAGCGAGUCCGACCAUACCUCCUUACACCAUUGUGAACUUAGGACCAAUAGGAAUAAGAUCAAUUGUGAAAAAAUGAGCGUGGAUGAGCCACCGAAGUCUUUCUGUGCUGAAUUUCCAGUUUUUUCAAGAAUAUCCCUGCCGAAGUACUUUGUAGGCCAAUAGUUUCGCAGCUAAAUGAUUGCCACAAAUGUCUUUGUGAACUUCCCGAAGAACAUACUCUGCUUCGGACGGAACCAAAUAUUUGAGCAAUGGUGACGAAAAAGGACCUUCGAAAAAGAUUCUCAUUAAUGAGAACAAAAUUGACACUCUUAUACUUGAUCUUCUUUAGCCGGCAUCUGAUCUGAAGGAAGGACGCCAUAUGCCAUCAAAGUUAUAAGCAUCCGUAAUAGCCAACUUCGAUAAUGCAUCAACAAUGGAAUUAUUAUUGUGAUUGACCCCUUGAUAGCCUGCUGUACUGAUGUCCCAAAUAGAAUAUCCAUCUGCAUGCAAUGUCCACGAGCUCUGCUUCUGCUGAAGUACUGCAACGGCUUUGUCGGACUCCUCAGCUGCUUUCCAUCUGAAGCUGCAACUUUAGAUGGAUUUCCCCGAAGACAAGUAUCCACAGGGCGGUGUGCCCUCAGUGGAUUCUCAAGAGUAUGGCUUCUGGGUCUGCUUCGACCAUAAUCCCGAAGACCAAUAGGGCGGAAUACCCUUCUUCGAUCAAUCAGGAAAAUGGUUGUUGGGUCUUCAUCUACUCUGCUUCGACCAUAAUCCCGAAGACCAAUAAGGCGGAGUACCCUCUUCGGUCAAUCAGGAAAAUGGCUGUUGGGUCUUCAUCUACUCUACUUCGACCAUAAUCCUGAAGACCAAUAGGGCGAAGUACCCUCUUCGGAUGCUCAGGAAUAUGAUUCUUUGGUCAUGAGGAUCACCUUGAGACAUGUCCUCAAAGUGCAUAGACUGCUUUCCAACUCACGGUUGUCCAUCUUUAGGCGUACCACAUCUUUCAGACUAGACAUAAUUGAUCGCUUUGUCCCUCAGCCUGGCAAUUCGAAGAAUCUGCACAACUAUAUCCUCGCUCCGCUCAGCUACAUCCUCGCUCCGCACAGCUACAUCCUCGCUCCGCUCCAAGAGAACCUUCAAAGCUCUAUCUGCUUCGUCCACCAUCUUCAUUAGCCUGACCACUUCGGUGCCGAGUUCUAGGCGGGGUGCCUUUUACUUGCCUUCGGCCAUGAUCAUGCUCUUUGUCAGCAGCAAAGACCAACCAUCUUCGGGCUU